AGAGUAUGACAGAUCAGCAUCUCUGAGCGUAGACAUGUAAGACACAUGUCAAGGCCGAUGUCUUCUCAUGACACUACACCAGGACACUGCAGCAGAAAUACAAUUUCCAUGUCUCUAACCUCUGGAAGAAUUAGUGGAAUAUGAUCCCUACCUCAGCAAAAACCAAGGUAUACCCUAAACAUCUGGAAAAGAGCAGGUCUCCAAGAGAAAAGAAGCGACAAUCAAACAGGACAAGACAAGAUACAAUAAGUCAAGGUGAAAGCCCUUCUAUGGAGGCUAGAGAACACAACCCAAUAAGAAGAAAAGAGUUCC